GGUGGCUCAGUGGUAGAGCACUUGCCUCAACUGCAUGAGGCCCUGGGUUCAAUUCCUCAGCACCA
rnacentral:tRNA from 1 species